AGAGUUUGAUCCUGGCUCAGGAUGAACGCUAGCUACAGGCUUAACACAUGCAAGUCGAGGGGCAGCAUGAGCUCAGCUUUGCUGGGGUUUUGAUGGCGGACCGGCGCACGGGUGAGUAACGCGUAUCCAACCUGGCCCUUUACUCCGGGAUAGUCUCCUGAAAGGGAGUUUAAUACCGGAUGUGUUUGUCUUUCCGCAUGGGAGCGUACAAAUAAAGAUUGAUUGGUAAAGGAUGGGGAUGCGUCCCAUUACG
rnacentral:rRNA from 1 species